GGUGAGUAAUAUAUAGAAAUCUGCCCUUUUGAGGGGGAUAGCCAUGGGAAACUGUGAGUAAUACCCCAUAAGCUCGGAAGAGGAAAGGUAGUAGCAAUACUACCGCUGAAGGAGGAGUCUAUAUCAGAUUAGAUAGUUGGUAGGGUAAAGGCCUACCAAGUCGAUGAUCUGUAGUUGGUCUGAGAGGAUGGCCAGCCACACUGGGACUGAGAUACGGCCCAGACUUC
rnacentral:rRNA from 1 species